UAGGAGCUUUCUUCGAUGGGGAAAGAAUAAUUUGGACCUUGAAGGACCAGGUUAUAAAUUCAAAUAAUAAAAAAUGCAUGAGUUGGUUCACAAAUAAAGUAGAAUAACAGUUGAGAGGAAUUUGAAAACAUUUUAGAAUUUUUUAUUACAAGAAAGCACCAACGGCACAUCAUGGUGGAGGAGAUCUGCUUGGUGUCAUCGCUGCGUCGUCUUCCUCGACAAUUUGGGCGUGGACUCAGUGUCGCUGGCUGAGGAGAUAUGAGAGAAGAGCAAAACAAAGAGAUUCAGAGAGAAGAGAGAGCUCGCUUCGCCGUCGUCUUGCCGUCGCCACCGCAGUUCAUCGCCUCUCCAAAUCUGGUUGCAACGCCCAAGCCUUUGAGGAUGUUCCAUUAUUACCUCCUUGACGAGACGCAGAACAAGCUCGAUUAUAUCCCCCCUCUCUCUCUCUCACUGUUGAGAACUUCCUCGAGUGCCGCCUCCAUAUUCUCGUCUUCAAGUCCGGCAUGGCCAAGUUCAUCCAUCAGUGCAUAUUAGGCCACAGAGGAGGUUCAUUGAGCUGAAGGGUCUGGAGAAAAUCAUACAGGAAAGAAUAUUAGCAUUUCAGUGGAG